UUAGGGGCGUUGGACCCAACUACUUCAUUUUCAUGCAUAUCAAAUAAAGCAAGAAAGAAGUACUUCAAAGUAAAUGUGAGCUUAUGCUCAUUACAACAUUUGCAUAAAUCAAAUUACUUCAAAUUACAACCAAAAUCUAAUCUACACAUUCUCAUGGUUCAAACAAAUUUGAAACGGCCUAUCACAUAGCUCAAUUAUCGUAGGCUUAGGUUCAUAAUAACCCUUUAAUUAAUUAACACUUUAACUAAUUAAAUUGAAUGCAACAUUUUCAUUUGGUUUUUGUAUCAAUAAGAUUGAUUUAAAUGGAGCUAAAUGAAAUGAAAAUCCAAUUCUCAUUUAAAGAGACAAAACAAUUUUGUUCUCAACCUAAUUUGGGCCAUCAUGCAAUAACCACAACUUUUUGGGCUAUAUUGCGAAAACAUAAACUUUUGGGGUCACUUUGUAAAAACACAAAAGUCCACUACUUCAUGUAAUUACAACUAGAACCCAAAAUUUAAACAAUGCAAAAACUUCAUUAAAGGAGCAAAACAAUUUGUCCUUUAGCGUUUUUGGACCCAAACAUAAAAACUUAAACUUUUGGGCCAAAGUGCAAAUACACAAAAGUAUCAAAACUUUAUGUAAUUGCAUAAAAGCCCCAAAAGUACUCUCACUUGAGGGAGGGCCGGUUUUGGAUAGGAGAAAUGAGUGAUGUGUGUGUUCAUUGCUAAGUUAGACAUAAAGCAUGCAAGUGGUGCAAGUGAAAGGGAAUUAAUCAUUUCACACCCACCAUUAUUUCUAUCACCAUUUAAACAAAUAUCUAACACAUUAAAUCAUUUGAAAAAACAUAAAACAUAAACUUUAUGAAAUAAAUCAAAACUUUGAAUCAAAACACAAAACUUUUUGUUCUUGGCAAAAAUGUCAAGAACAAUGAAGAACAUUCAUGAAAAACCCAAAAAAUUUCCAUGAACAUUUUUACUCCAAAAAACAUCCCAAAACCAUUCAAACUUUAGGGAAAUAACACAUAACCAAACUAGGGUACAUAGGGGUUCCAAAAGUUACUUGAAAACACUUUUAACAAGUCAAACAAGAACCCAAAAAUCCACCCUUUGGAUUUGGCCGAAAAUUCCCAAAAACAUGGCACCAAAUUUUAGCUCCAAUAUUCAUGCUCAUAAGAACUACAUCUACAACAUUUGAGAUGGCAAAU
rnacentral:lncRNA from 1 species